UGACUACUCAGUAGUGACUCAUUAUGGAACUAUUUGAAACUAUGUAUUUUUUUUUUUAAUCAGAAAGUACAACUGCCUAUAAUCAAUGUUAUCUCUUCAAAUCCAAGCGAUCCUAAAAUCUGGCCCCUACUUCCCUUCAAAACAACAGACAGCAAAUCUGAGGAAGAGAAAACUUAUUAUUCUUUGUGGGGCUGACAGCUUCCCUGGCCCCCAUUGCACACUGAUCAAGGCACCUUCCCCUGCAAAACAAGACAGACAAGAUGGACAGACAUUUCCCUUCCAUCCCUCCUCGUGAGGCACCAGGAGCAGCAGAGGAUCUGCAAUCAGAAGACCCAGGAGAAGAAAAGUUAUGGAUACCAUCAAAAUUGAUAAAGAUUCAGUUUGAAAAAGAGAAAUCUCUUGAGAAAGAGAAAAGAUGGCUCAUCCACAGAGGUGACAAUCAUACAGAUGAUUCCAAACAUGCAGGCCUGACAGCUAUGACCUCAGAAGGAAACUUCACUAAAGCAACUUCUGUGUGUUCUGCAUAAAGCUGCAGCCUGGGAAGGGGGUGACUCACUGUUCGCUGAAGGU